ensembl:snoRNA U3 Small nucleolar RNA U3
AAGAUUAUACUUUCAGGGAUCAUUUUAUAGUAUCUUACUAGGAAAUGUGAUUUGAAAGCGUUACGUCUUUCUAAUCAUCAUCAUCAUCAUGAUGAUGAUGAAUUUUGAUGUAUUCUUUUUAGCGUGAAUCGGAUUUUGGCUAAUGAUUCGUUCAUGGGUUUUAAUCAUUGAUGAACGUUCUUCAUCUUUUCAGAAGCAUGAGAGGAAGACUAUAGGAUUCGACUGAU